GUCUACAGCCAUGCCACCCUGAAUGAGCCCGAUCUCGUCUGAUCUCAGAAGCUAAGCAGAGUCUGGCCUGGUUAGUACUUGUAUGGGAGACCACCUAGGAAUACCAGGUGCUAUAGGUG
rnacentral:rRNA from 1 species